rnacentral:rRNA from 1 species
UCCUCCUUCCUGAUGAACCGUAAUGCCAUUAAUUUGGUGUUGCGGGGAAUUUGGACUGUUACUUUGAAAAAAUUAGAGUGUUUAAAGCAAGCUAACGCUUGAAUACAUUAGCAUGGA